GAUGAACGCUGGCGGCGUGCUUAACACAUGCAAGUCGAACGGAAAGGCCAGUGCUUGCACUGGUACUCGAGUGGCGAAAGGGUGAGUAACACGUGGGUGAUCUGCCCUGCACUUCGGGAUAAGCCUGGGAAACUGGGUCUAAUACCGGAUAGGACAAUGGUUUGGAUGCCGUUGUGGAAAGUUUUUUCGGUGUGGGAUGAGCUCGCGGCCUAUCAGCUUGUUGGUGGGGUAAUGGCCUACCAAGGCGUCGACGGGUAGCCGGCCUGAGAGGGUGUACGGCCACAUUGGAACUGAGAGACGGCCCAGACUCCUACGGGAGGCAGCAGUGGGGAAUAUUGCACAAUGGGCUCAAGCCUGAUGCAGCGACGCCGCGUGGGGGAUGACGGCCUUCGGGUUGUAGACUCCUUUCGAUAGGGACGAAGCGUAUUUGUGACGGUACCUGGAGAAGAAGCACCGGCUAACUACGUG
rnacentral:rRNA from 1 species